rnacentral:misc_RNA from 1 species
AAAUCCUCAACCCCUCAGGGGGCUUGGACUUUGGAGCGUGCUGGCGGUGAUCGUCGGCUCCUCUUUAAAUGCAUCAGCGGAACCCUCGUUCCCCGUUUCGGCGUGAUAGAUUUAUGUUGCGCCGCGUAGGGGGGCGGUCAAGUGGUUUUUCCGCUUCCAAUCGUCCUCGGACAAAAGAUAUCGUUGACAA